AGACUUUGCGAGGCGCCUCCUUGUGCCAAAAUAUGCCGAGGACACAUCCGUGCCCAAAAAUAACCGCCCGAAGGCCGGGGCGGCAAGUUCGUCCCGCGGAAAAAGCCCACAAAAACGGGUGGGUUAUAGCCUUGGGGGGUGGGGCUGGCCGACUUCGUCCGCCGGACUCGGAAUGGCGCGAGACUUUGCGAGGUGCCUUCGUGUGCCAAAAAUAGGCCGCGGGCACAGCCGCGCCUAAAAAUAACCGCCCGAAGGCCGGGGCGCCAAGUUCGUCCAGCGGAAAAAGCCCACAAAAACGGGUGGGCUAUAGCCUUGGGGGGUGGGGCUGGCCCACUUCGUCCGCCGGACUCGGAAUGGCGCGAGACUUUGCGAGGCGCCUUCGUGUGCCAAAAAUAGGCCGCGGGCACUGCCGCGCCUAAAAAUAACCUCCCGAAGGCCGGGGCGCAAAGUUCGUCCAGCGGAAAAAGCCCACAAAAACGGGUGGGCUAUAGCUUUGGGGGGUGGGGCGGGCCCACUUCUUCCGCCGGACUCGGAAUGGCGCGAGACUUUACGAGGGGCCUGCGUGUGCCAAAAAUAGGCCGCGGGCAAAGCCGCGCCCAAAAAUAACCGCCCGAAGGCCGGGGCGCCAAGUUCGUCCAGCGGAAAAAGGCUACAAAAACGGGUGGGCUAUAGCCUUGGGGGGUGGGGCUUGCCAACUUCGUCCACCGGACUCGGCAUGCCGCGAGACUUUGCGAAGGGCCUCUGUGUGCCAAAAAUAGGCCGCGGGCUAACCGCGCCCAAAAAUAACCGCCCGAAGGCCGGGGCGUCAAGUUCGUCCAGCGGAAAAAGGCCACAAAAACGGGUGGGCUAUAGCCUUGGGGGGUGGGGCUGGCCAACUUCGUCCGCCGGACUCGGAAUGCCGCGAGACUUUGCGAGGGGCCUCCGUGUCCCACAAAUAGGCCGCGGGAGAAGCCGUACCCAAAAAUAAGCGCCUGAAGGCCGGGUCGCCAUGUUCGUCCAGCGGAAAAAGGCCACAAAAACGGGUGGGCUAUAGGCUUGGGGGGUGGGGCUGGCCGACUUCGUCCGCCGGACUCAGAAUGCCGCGAGACUUUGCAAGGGGCCUCCGUGUGCCAAACAUAGGCCGCGGGAGAAGCCGUACCCAAAAAUAAGCGUCUGAAGGCCGGGUCGCCAUGUUCGUCCAGCGGAGAAAGGCCACAAAAACAGGUGGGCUAUAACCUUGGGGGGUGGGUCUGGCCAACUUCGUCUGCCGGACUCGGAAUGCCGCGAGACUGCGAGGGGCCUCCGUGUGCCAAAAAUAGCUGCGGGCAAAGCCGCGCCAAAAAAUAACCAACCGAAGGCCGGGGCGCCAAGUUCGUCCAGCGGUAAAAGGCCACGAAAACGGGUGGGCUAUAGCCUUGGGGGGUGGGGCUGGCCCACUUCGUCCGCCGGACUCGGCAUGCCGCGAGACUUUGCGAAGGGCCUCCGUGUGCCAAAAAUCGGCCGCGGGCUAACCGCGCCCAAAAAUAACCGCCCGAAGGCCGGGGCGCCAAGUUCGUCCAGCGGAAAAAGGCCACAAAAACGGAUGGGCUAUAGCCUUGGGGGGUGGGGCUGUCCAACUUCGUCCGCCGGACUCGGAAUGCCGCGAGACUUUGCGAGGGGCCUCCGUGUGCUAAAAAAAUGGCCGCGGACAAAGCCGCACCCAAAAAUAACCGCCCGAAGGCCGGGGCGCCAUGUUCGUCCAGCGGAAAAAGGCCACAAAAACGGGUGGGCUAUAGCCUUGGGGGGUGGGGCUGGCCGACUUCGUCCGCUGGACUCAGAAUGCCGCGAGACUUUGCAAGGGGCCUCCGUGUGACAAAAAUAGGCCGCGGGCAAAGCCGCGCCAAAAAAUAACCGCCCGAAGUCCGGGGCGCCCAGUUCGUCCAGCGGAAAAAGGCCACAAAAACGGGUGGGCUAUAGCCUUGGGGGGUGGGGCUGGCCAACUUCGUCCGCCGGACUCGGAAUGCCGGGAGACUUUGCGAGGGGCCUCCGUGUGCAAAAAAUAGGCCGCGGGCAAACCGCACCCAAAAAUCACCGCCCGAAGGCCGGGACGUCAAGUUCGUCCAGCGGAAAAAGGCCACAAAAACGGGUGGGCUAUAGCCUUGGGGGGUGGGGCUGGCCAACUUCGUCCGCCGGACUCGGAAUGCCGCGAGACUUUGCGAGGGGCCUCCGUGUCCCAAAAAUAGGCCGCGGGCAAAGCCGUACCCAAAAAUUACCGCCCGAAGGCCGGGUCGCCAUGUUCGUCCAGCGGAAAAAGGCCACAAAAACGGGUGGGCUAUAGCCUUGGGGGGUGGGGCUGGCCAACUUCAUCCGCCGGACUCGGAAUCCCGGGACACUUUGCGAGGGGCCUCCGUGUCCCAAAAAUAGGCCGCGGGCAAACCGCACCCAAAAAUAACCGCCCGAAGGCCGGCACGUCAAGUUCGUCCAGCGGAAAAAGGCCACAAAAACGGGUGGGCUAUAGCCUUGGGGGGUGGGGCUGGCCCACUUCGUCCCCCGGACUCGGAAUGCCGCNNNNNNNNNNNNNNNNNNNNNNNNNNNNNNNNNNNNNNNNNNNNNNNNNNNNNNNNNNNNNNNNNNNNNNNNNNNNNNNNNNNNNNNNNNNNNNNNNNNNCUCCGUGUCCCAAAAAUAGGCCGCGGGCAAAGCCGCACCCAAAAAUAACCGCCCGAAGGCCGGGUCGCCUUUUUCGUCCAGCGGAAAAAGGCCACAAAAACGGGUGGGCUAUAGCCUUGGGGGGUGGGGCUGGCCGACUUCGUCCGCCGGACUCAGAAUGCCGCAAGACUUUGCGACGGGCCUCCGUGUGCCAAAAAUAGGCCGCGGGCAAACCGCGCCCAAAAAUAACCCCCGAAGGCCGGGGCGUCAAGGUCGUCCAGCGGUAAAAGGCCACAAAAACGAGUGGGCUGUAGCCUUGGGGGGUGCGGCUGGCCAACUUCGUCCGCCGGACUCAGAAUGCCGCGUGACUUUGUAUGGGGCAUAUGUGUGCCAAAAAUAGGCCGCGGGCGAAGCCGCACCCAAAAAUUACCGCCCGAAGGCCGGGUCGCCAUGUUCGUCCAGCGGAAAAAGGCCACAAAAACGGGUGGGCUAUAGCCUUGGGGGGUGCGGCUGGCCCACUUCGUCCGCCGGACUCGGCAUGCCGCGAGACUUUGCGAGGGGCCUCCGUGUGCCAAAAAUAGGCCGCGGGCAAAUCGCGCCCAAAAAUUACCGCCCGAAGGCCGGGGCGUCAAGUUCGUACAGCGGAAAAAGGCCACAAAAACGGGUGGGCUAUAGCCUUGGGGGGUGGGGCUAGCCAACUUCGUCCGCCGGACUCGGAAUGCCGCGAGACUUUGCGAGGGGCCUCCGUGUCCCAAAAAUAGGCCGCGGAUGAAGCCGCACCCAAAAAUAACCGCCCGAAGGCCGGGGCGCCAAGUUCGUCCGGCGGAAAAAGGCCACAAAAACGGGUGGGCUAUAGCCUUGGGGGGUGGGGCUGGCCAUCUUCGUCCGCCGGACUCGGAAUGCCGCGAGACUUUGCGAGCGAUCUCCAUGUGCCAUAAAUAAUCCGCGGGCAAAGCCGCGCCUAAAAAUAACCACCCGAAGGCCGGGGCGCCAAGUUCGUCCAGCGGUAAAAGGCCACAAAAACGGGUGGGCUAUAGCCUUGGGGGGUGGGGCUGGCCCACUUCGUCCGCCGGACUCGGCAUGCCGCGAGACUUUGCGAGGGGCCUCCGUGUGCCAAAAAUAGGCCACGGGCAAACCACGUCCAAAAAUAACCGCCCGAAGGCCGGGACGCCAAGUUCGUCCAGCGGAAAAAGGCCACAAAAACGGGUGGGCUAUAGCCUUGGGGGGUGGGGCUGGCCAACUUCGUCCGCCGGACUCGGAAUGGCGCGAGACUUUGUGAGGGGCCUCCGUGUGCCAAAAAUAGGCCGUAGGCACAGCCACGCCCAAAAAUAACCGCCCGAACGCCGGGGCGCCAUGUUCGUCCAGCGGAAAAAGGCCAAAAAAACGGGUGGGCUAUAGCCCUGGGGGGUGGGGCUGGCCAACUUCGUCUGCCGGACUCAGAAUUCCGCGAGACUUUGCGAGGGGCCUCCGUGUGCCAAAAAUAGGCCGCGGACAAAGCCGCGCCCAAAAAUAACCACCCGAAGGCCGGGUCUCCAAGUUCGUCCAGCGGAAAAAGGCCACAUAAACGGGUGGGCUAUAGCCUUGGGGGGUGGGGCUGGCCGACUUCGUCCGCCGGACUCAGAAUGCCGCGAGACUUUGCGACGGGCCUCCGUGUGCCAAAAAUAGGCCGCGGGCAAAGCCGCGCCGAAAAAGAACCGCCCGAAGGCCGGGGCGCCAAGUUCGUCCGGCGGAAAAAGCCCACAAAAACGGGUGGGCUAUAGCCUUGGGGGGUGGGGCUGGCCAUCUUCGUCCGCCGGACUCGGAAUGCCGUGAGAGUUUACGAGGGAUCUCCGUGUGC
rnacentral:lncRNA from 1 species